GAAUAUUGGACAAUGGGCGAAAGCCUGAUCCAGCAAUGCCGCGUGAGUGAUGAAGGCCUUAGGGUUGUAAAGCUCUUUUACCCGGGAUGAUAAUGACAGUACCGGGAGAAUAAGCUCCGGCUAACUCCGUGCCAGCAGCCGCGGUAAUACGGAGGGAGCUAGCGUUGUUCGGAAAUACUGGGCGUAAAGCGCACGUAGGCGGCGCGGCAAGUCAGGGGUGAAAUCCCGAGGCUCAACCCCGGAACUGCCUUUGAAACUGCCGUGCUAGAAUUCUGGAGAGGCGAGUGGAAUUCCGAGUGUAGAGGUGAAAUUCGUAGAUAUUCGGAAGAACACCAGUGGCGAAGGCGACUCGCUGGACAGACAUUGACGCUGAGGUGCGAAAGCGUGGGGAGCAAACAG
rnacentral:rRNA from 1 species